UACGAAGGGGGCUAGCGUUGCUCGGAAUCACUGGGCGUAAAGGGUGCGUAGGCGGGUCUUAAGUCAGGGGUGAAAUCCUGGAGCUCAACUCCAGAACUGCCUUUGAUACUGAAGAUCUUGAGUUCGGGAGAGGUGAGUGGAAUUCCGAGUGUAGAGGUGAAAUUCGUAGAUAUUCGGAAGAACACCAGUGGCGAAGGCGGCUCACUGGAGCCGGUAUUGACGCUGAGGUGCGAAAGCGUGGGGAGCAAACAGG
rnacentral:rRNA from 1 species